CUCGCCCAUUUCUCCCUUGCAC
rnacentral:miRNA from 1 species